AGCAGCCGCGGUAAUUCCAGCUCCAAUAGCGUAUAUUAAAGUUGUUGCAGUUAAAAAGCUCGUAGUUGAAUUUCGGAGUUUGUCGGUUGGUCGGGCUUCACUGUCCGCACUGGCCUGAUGAAUUCCUACCUUCUGAAUAACCAGCAUGCUAUUAAGUUAGUGCGUUGGGGAAGCAGAGCUAUUACCUUGAAAAAAUUAGAGUGCUUAAAGCAGGCUUACGCUUGAAUAGAUUAGCAUGGAAUAAUAAAAUAGGACGGCAUGGUUCUAUUUUGUUGGUUUCUAGGAUCACCGUAAUGAUUAAUAGGGAUAGUUGGGGGCAUUAGUAUUCAAUUGUCAGAGGUGAAAUUCUUGGAUUUAUUGAAGACUAACUUCUGCGAAAGCAUUUGCCAAGGAUGUUUUCAUUAAUCAAGAACGAAAGUUAGGGGAUCGAAGACGAUCAGAUACCGUCGUAGUCUUAACCAUAAACUAUGCCGACUAGGGAUCGGACGAUGUAA
rnacentral:rRNA from 1 species